GGGGACGAGCGGGUUUCGACAGGGAAGGUCGGGCCCGGACAGCAGGCCGAGGUCGCCACAGCCCUCGUUAAACAGGUGGCAAAAAGUAACUGGCGAGCGCGAACUCGCUCUCGCCGCCUAAGCGCUAGGCGGCGCGUCGCCCCGGCCUCUCCCCUGCGGGCCGGGAACGGCGCCAGAGAGCAGGGGUGCUGUCUCCCCGACGCCGAUAGGGGAGGCCUAAGACCGAUCGGCUGGCCCGUCGGCACGCUGCCAGCGGCGGUACGGCGGGCGAGACCCAAGCGCUGGCUAAGCCUGUAGCCGGUCCGGGUUGGUCUUCCCCUGGACGAGGGGUUCGACUCCCCUCCGUCUCCACCA
rnacentral:tmRNA from 1 species